AAUCACAAACUGGCAAUUAUUGGAAAAGAAGUUAUACUUUUUCCUAAAUUCUCUCAAAAAAAGUUGAACUGCUCAAUUUGCAAGUUUUCUAUAAUAGAGCUUUUUGGCAAUUUUUGGCAACAAAGUGAAAAUUUUUGCAACUACUGGCACCAAAAAAAAAAACACAAUUUUUUGAUUACUUUCGGCAAUUUUAGCAAAUUCAGACAAGAGGCGAGAUUUUUGAUAAUUUUGGCAGAAAACGACACUUUGACAUUCAUCUUAUCAAAAACGCAAAAAUGUUCACCAACAAACCAAAAAUUGAAAAUUGUUGUCAAUUUUUGAAAAAGUGAUUAUUUUUUAUAACUUUUGCCAAAAAGCAAGACUUUGACAAUUGUAGCAAACAGCAGAACUUAUGAUUUGUCCCAAAACAUUUCACCAUCUUUUACGUUUUGACAAAAAAUGUGGCAUUCUUUACCCCCUCCCCUCCUUCUAGCUUCCGCCACGGUAUUGCAGAUCUGACCACGAAAAUGUCACAAGUUGUAAUAUUGUAAACAUCGUAAAAAUGAAUGCUUCAGUCUGUGCGCAAUUGUGAUGUGGGGGGUGGUUCUGAACUCGAUGCAGCAAUACGUGCCCGUUUCCAAGAUUUCCUCGAAAACGGAAAACUUCUGAUUUUUUGGAUAUUUUUAUUAGAUACCUAUGUAAUGAGGUGAUCAAAAUAUGUACCACUCUUGGGAUGCUCCUCCCAAAAUCGGCUAAAAUGUGGAAUAACUCGUUAAACAUGUCGACGAACAUGCAGUGCACAACUUAAUCCAAUUAUCCUUACCUGAUGAUUCAAUUCCAUGCUUCGCCCAGACAGCCAAUCAGCAUUCCAUGCUCGGUAAAUUAUCAACACUCGUGAUCUGUCGAAACCAAAAAGCAACAUAAGCACGUCUCCAGCGCAGAAUACAACACCAACACACUCGUAAAAAAUUUUCAAAAUAUCAAAAAAUAAAUAAAAAUCGUAUUCAAAAUUCACAAACACGUCAUUGUUCAUAUUCACGCCUUCUGCAGCAAAUUUAAAAUUCCGGAUAAAUUGAAAAUCGUGCUGGAGGCUCCACACUAGCUUGAGAUGGCGAAAUUCACCCUGAGGGGGAGGAGGGGGUAGUUCUGGACAAAAUACAGCGAUUCGCGUAAAUUUCGAAAAUUUCUUCGUAAACGGGACACUUAAUUUUUUUGGAUAUUUUUGUAAAAAAAAAAGGUGUUUCUGCCAAAAUCUCCUCAAAUGUAGAUAAACUUGUUAAACAGGUCCAGUACAACACACAACUCGAUUUUCAGCUGCCCAACAUCAUAAUCACGCCUUCUGGAGCAAAUUCAAAAUUCUGGAGAAAUUGAAAAUCGCGCUGGAGGCUCCAGAAUGGCUGGAAAUAUUGAAGUUUGGAAGUCAGUUUUGAAUUUUCAAACGUCGCGUUCGCCAAAAAUCAAAAUAUGAAGUUGGGCAGCUGAAAAUUUGGCUUUGAGGGUUUUAGACCUUGCGAAAAGCAAGAAACGCGACGUUCUGGGCAUUUGGGAAAAAAGUGAAAGUUUUUACUAUUUUUGGCAGAAUGCUACCACUUGAGAAUAGCAAACUCGUUUUGUUUUGUUCUUACUGUAUUUUUACACGAUUAUAACAUAGAGAAUUUUCAUGAACAAUAUAAAAUGACGGAAAUCAGCCACGAUAAGAAAUGCAUAUUUAUCACGUCCGUUAUUACUUGAUAAUAUGUAUAAGCUAUGACAAUUGCAAAAAUUCUGACUCAUUGUGAUAGAGUAACUACAACUGAGAAUGAUUUACUAAGUUAAGCUCGUUUCCCUGAAAUAUUUUGCCUGUAAUUGUAUAAUGCGUGUUGUAUUCUUUUCUCCUCAAAAAUUGUAAAAAGCUCGGAAAAAGUGUUCAAAGAAGUGUUCUAUACAUAAAUAAUGAAUGAUAUGGAACUAUUUGAAAAAAGUUAUUCGUUUAUGAAAAUUGAACGCGGUAAUUAUUUCUGAAAAGCAAUUUAUUUUCAAAUACUCAACUUUCUUCUUUGAGUGUCGGUACUUGGUAAUUUGAAAAAUCAAGAUGUCAUCUGAAGAUGAAGAACCAUUUUGUGGAGCCACGUUACAGAAUGUAGAAUCUUAUUAUUUGGAGAAUAUACAAGGUACUAUCGACAUACCAAUAUGCAUAAUCGGUGUGAUCUUUAACAUGUUCAACAUGCUGGUAUUCACAAGGACAAAUAUGAAAUCACCGGUGAACCUAAUCUUCACUCAUUUGGCGUUUGCAAAUUUAUCAGAGCUGUUACCAUACAUAUACUUCAUAUGGGUAAACUUGGCAUAUCAGAGUGAGCUAAGAACUUUCAAAAAAUGGACUUAUACACGGGCAGUACUCUUAAUGCGAUGUGCUGAGUUGAUAAACAUUUUUAACCGCAUAUCAGUGUAUAUUAUAAUUAUGCUAGCAAUAUGGAAAUACAUAGCUGUAUUUCAUCCAUCGAAGGAAUCUCAAUGGUGCAAUAUGAAAACUACACGCAAUACGCUGGUAGCUGGUUACAUCAUAUGCAUGUUGCUUUCUAUACCGAACUGUUUGUCAGAUUAUAUUGAAACAUAUGUCAUGGAUCAGACGACAAUAAUUUACAUAUAUAGAGUUGAAAUUGAUUCCAUCAUGUACUCAGCGUCACAAGUUGUCAAAGUAGGGUUGUAUGAAUUAUUUCCAUCACUGGUGUUACCGAUAUUAGGUGCUAGAUUGAUUGUCACUCUAUGGAUGAAAAAAGAACACCCAACUCCUACUUCAAACGUUGAAAACCGCACAGACAAUGUCGAAAUGAAGCGACAAACCAAUCGAUCGAUAAUCAUAUCGAUGAUAAUUGUGGCACAAUGUUUAAGUUUCGUGAUUCCAUUAGGAUUACUGGACUUAGUACAUAAAUUUUUUGUACGCGAUUAUCUAUCAACUCAUUACGAAUGUUUUACUAGCUUUCGAGUGAUAGUCAAUAUCUUAGAUUGCGUUAAUAAGUCUAUUAAAUUUAUAGUAUUUUACGCGAUGGAUCAAGAUUUUAGAGUCACAUUCAAAUCUUUGUUCAACAAAAACCAUGCUUCUGUAUGGAAACUAAAGUACGUCCCUUUGAGCAGUACGAGAGGGAACGAUGAAAGCUUAGAAAUAGAUCGAAUUUAACAAAGGUGGGUAAUUUUUGAAAUGGAAUUAUUGCAGAUAUCUGACAAUGAGGGUGAUAACCCAGGAAAAAAUAAUUGCAUCCGCCCAUGCCACGAGUCUAAUUCUGUACUCCAAUGCAAAAAGGAUGGAUGUCCAGAAACCAAAUUUUUCAGGAGAGUGAGAAAACAAUUUUAGCGAUCAUUUUUGUUUCAUUUUCAAACUUGUAGAGAGAGUAAAUUUUAAUUGAAAAUUAUAUUUCAAUUCUUUGAUGCAUUGGUAAUUGAUUUUAGCUUUUAUAAAUAAUUUAUCACCAGUCAAUUAUUUUUUAAAUGAACUACCUAAUGAAAAAAAAAUUGAAUGGACAUCCACGAGUAAACUCCAAAAAAAGGAUGGAAGUCCUCGUAAUUAAAAGAUGGAAGUCCUAUUCGAGAAAAAUAACAUCUGGACUUCCAUCCUUUUUCUUUCUUGUUUUCCAGGACUUCCAUCUUUUUCGUUUUGACAACUUCUGUAAUUCUCCACUUGGAGCGUAAAUAUAUACACGGUUAGAGAGAGAGAGAGUUUCAAGAGCUUUCCAAUGAUGUGAAAAUCUCAAUUCGUGAAAAAUGGACUUCCAUCCUUUUUGCUUUGGAGUACAGAUUAUUUGACCUGGCCAGAUCGGAUCAGAUCUGUUCAUUCCUAAUCAGACCAAAUGAGAGGCCUGAUUGGAUCUGACUGGAUUUAAGUAUGUACCAGGUACCUACAUCUGAUCUGGAUUAGAUCAGAUCAGAUCUAAUCAGAUCCAAUCACCUUCUCCUGGGAAGAUUUUUAAAAACUCAAAAAUAUUUUUCACCCAAAUGCAAGGGUCUUAGUGUCAGUUGAGUGAAAAAUAGCUUCCUAUAGGUAAAUAGGUAUUGUGUAGAUUAAGCAAGGUUCAUGUUUCAUGAAUCAACUUAUUUAUUAUAUUUUAUGUCAAAAAUCAAUGUACAUUUAUGUAUUUAUUAUUCAAAAAAUUCUCGAAUUAAAAAAAUAUACAAAUAAUCUGAGUCAUUAUGUUAUUGUCAUGUCAUAGGUACCAAAACUAGUUAGCUAAUUGUUAAUUUUUAAUAUGAUUUUGAAUAUUCGAAAGCUUUUUAUAAUCUUUGACAUUUCAGCCAAAUUAUUGGACACUGUAACCCCCCCCCCCCCUCCUGUAAAGCUGCAAUUUAUCGCGCAUUGAUUGCUGUAUUUAAAAACGAGUAAUUGCAAUUUGAACAUUUCAUGUUUCUGUAAUAACAUUUUAAAGAAAAUUAUGCAAUUUUUCAAAAUUUUAAAUUCAGAACUCAACAUGUGUAGUGUAUAGAGAGGUCUAAGUUGGUAACACUGUUCAACAUGGGAGUUGUUCGUCGAAAAUACGAGAAAAUGUAGGUAUUGUGGUUUUAUGAUGUGUGACAUCAUAUGUUUUACGAUCGUCACGUAUAUUCUCCAGCUUUGUGGUGACAAGGUUAUGUUACUUAGUUUUUUUGUCUUAUGUUAGUCGUUGUCUUGAUCUUUACACUGUACUGUUUGGUUAAAAAUAAAGAGUAUUGUAAUGUAA